UACAGAGGUCUCGAGCGUUAGGCGGAAUCACUGGGCUUAAAGCGUGUGUAGGUGGAUGCCUAAGUACCUUGUGAAAUCCCACGGCUUAACCGUGGAACUGCUUGGUAUACUGGACGUCUUGAGCCACUUAGGGGCUACCGGAACAAAUGGUGGAGCGGUGAAAUGCGUAGAUAUCAUUUGGAACGCCAAUGGUGAAAACAGGUAGCUGGGAGUGUGCUGACACUGAGACACGAAAGCCAGGGGAGCGAACGGG
rnacentral:rRNA from 1 species